UACGUAAGUGGCGAGCGUUGUCCGGAAUUACUGGGCGUAAAGGGCAGGUAGGCGGUUUCGCAAGUCUGAGGUGAAAUCCCAGGGCCUAACCCUGGAACUGCCUUGGAAACUGCGAGGCUGGAGGGCCAGAGGGGAAAGUGGAAUUUCGGGUGUAGCGGUGAAAUGCGUAGAUAUCCGAGAGAACACCAAUGGCGAAGGCAGCUUUCUGGCUGGUGCCUGACGCUGAACUGCGAAAGCUAGGGGAGCGAACGGG
rnacentral:rRNA from 1 species